rnacentral:rRNA from 1 species
UACGAAGGGGACUAGCGUUGUUCGGAAUCACUGGGCGUAAAGCGCACGUAGGCGGAUUCGUAAGUCAGGGGUGAAAUCCCGGGGCUCAACCUCGGAACUGCCUUUGAUACUGCGGGUCUUGAGUCCGAUAGAGGUGGGUGGAAUUCCUAGUGUAGAGGUGAAAUUCGUAGAUAUUAGGAAGAACACCGGCGGCGAAGGCGGCCCACUGGAUCGGUACUGACGCUGAGGUGCGAAAGCGUGGGGAGCAAACAGG